rnacentral:rRNA from 1 species
AGUGAACGCUGGCGGUAGGCCUAACACAUGCAAGUCGAACGGCAGCACAGUAAGAGCUUGCUCUUACGGGUGGCGAGUGGCGGACGGGUGAGUAAGACAUCGGAAUCUACUUUUUCGUGGGGGAUAACGUAGGGAAACGUACGCUAAUACCGCAUACGACCUACGGGUGAAAGCAGGGGAUCUUCGGACCUUGCGCGAUUGAAUGAGCCGAUGUCGGAUUAGCUAGUUGGCGGGGUAAAGGCGCACCAAGGCGACGAUCCGUAGCUGGUCUGAGAGGAUGAUCAGCCACACUGGAACUGAGACACGGUCCCGACUCCUAAGGGAGGAAGCAGUGGGGAAUAUUGGACAAUGGGCGAAAGCCUGAUCCAGCCAUACCGCGUGGGUGAAGAAGGCCUUCGGGUUGUAAAGCCAUUUUGUUGGGAAAGAAAAGCAGCAGGUUAAUACCCCGCUGUUCUGACGGUACCCAAAGAAUAAGCACCGGCUAACUUCGUG